rnacentral:rRNA from 1 species
UAGAGUAUAAGGAGAGGAAAGUGGAAUUUCAGGUGUAGCGGUGAAAUGCGUAGAUAUCUGANGGAACAUCAAUGGCGAAGGCAGCUUUCUGGACUAAUACUGACACUUGAGGUACGAAAAGCGUGGGUAGCAAACAGGAUUAGAUACCCUGGUAGUCCACGCCGUAAACGAUGAUAACUAGCCGUUGGGAGGAUUUACCUCUUAGUGGCGAAGCUAACGCGUUAAGUUAUCCGCCUGGGGAGUACGGCCGCAAGGUUAAAACUCAAAGGAAUUGACGGGGACCCGCACAAGCGGUGGAGCAUGUGGUUUAAUUCGAUGCAACGCGAAGAACCUUACCUGGUCUUGACAUACACGGAACUUUCCAGAGAUGGAUUGGUGCCUUCGGGAACCGUGAUACAGGUGCUGCAUGGCUGUCGUCAGCUCGUGUCGUGAGAUGUUGGGUUAAGUCCCGUAACGAGCGCAACCCUUAUCUUUAUUUGCCAGCACAUAAUGGUGGGAACUAUAAAGAGACUGCCGGUGAUAAACCGGAGGAAGGCGGGGACGACGUCAAGUCAUCAUGGCCCUUACGACCAGGGCUACACACGUGCUACAAUGGGAAGGACAAAGGGUUGCUAAGCCGCGAGGUGGUGCUAAUCUCAUAAACCUUUUCGUAGUCCGGAUCGGAGUCUGCAACUCGACUCCGUGAAGUCGGAAUCGCUAGUAAUCGUGGAUCAGAACGCCACGGUGAAUACGUUCCCGGGUCUUGUACACACCGCCCGUCAUACCAUGGGAGUGGGUUGCAAAAGAAGUGGGUAGCUUAUCUGGGCGCUCACCACUUUGUGAUUCAUGACUGGGGUAAAGUCGUAACAAGGUA